GGGUCAGUAGGUUGGUCGUGCCACCGGUACGUACUGGUCUCACUGAUUCCUCCUUCCCGAAGAACCGUAAUGACAUUAAUUUGGUGUUGCGGGGAAACAGGACUGUUACUUUGAAAAAAUUAGAGUGUUUAAAGCAAGCUAACGCUUGAAUACAUUAGCAUGGAAUAAUGAAAUAGGACGAUCGAUCCUAUUUUGUUGGUUUCUAGGAUUGACGUA
rnacentral:rRNA from 1 species